GGCUUCUAAGUAUAGGCCUCCAUACAAUAACCUCAAUAUGCUCAUAGGCGUAAGGCUUACAACAAGAAAUGGAUCAAAUAGAGGCGCAAGGAGACGAAAAAACGUAGCUCAUAAAAUAUAAGGCCCACCACGCAGUCCAUAAAAAUCCUAGAGCUAGGAACAGAGCUUGAAGGAGGUAGCUUCAUGUCAGUUAUCAGCUCCUCCAAACACACAGGAAGAUCGCAACACCAGAAGAAGAAAAGUAAGAUGCUACUAUUGAAAAGCUGAUUUAGAAACUUGAGAUUUUACAAGAAAAACCAUAGCCGUUCUUCCCUUAGCCUCAAUCUCAGCAGCCCCUUAACCCAUGUAUAGAACUAGCAGCCUUCGAAGUGGUGGCUCAUGGCAUUUGACUCUCAUCUAGUCUUGAGGGCCAGACACCAGUCAUUGGCAAGAAGGCCUCAAAGUUACCAUGCACAGCCUCAAAGCCUGGCACAGUGAUUGAGCAUAGACAUGCACAACCUAGUCGACUGGUAUUAUGGGUCCGCAAAGACAAAAGUAGAUCAAUAAAGAACCCUCUCGAAAGAAGAACCAGACUAGCAAACCGCAAAAGAAUCCAAGCAAAAACUAUCAACAACCCAAUCCAAAGGUGGGAAGGGAGAAACUCACUUCCGGCUUAGGUUAAAUGUCAUCUCCUACCCAAAAGGGGUAGGGUAUAGCUGCUAAACGGCAGAGAAAAGGAAAACUAUGGCCCUG
rnacentral:misc_RNA from 1 species